AUUCAAUCAAAAUCACAGUAUAUUUUUCAGCAAAAAGAUCUGAGAGGUUGAGAAAGGAGAGUUUAUCUAAUUCUUCUUCAGAUCUAACCACACAAUCACAGUCUCAGUUGGUUCUGGCAAGCAUACAUAAAAUGGGUCGCAAGAGUACAGGUAUAUGGUGCUUUUAUUUAGCCGUUUUCAUUACCGGCGCAAUGUUUAGGGUAGCCAUGUAUGUAACUUGUGAUGCCUACAACGGCCGACCCACGAAUGAAGUUCUGAAAUUUGUGAUAUCGUUGGGUCUGUAUUCAUCGAUCACGUCUGUUUUUGUGUUUGGAUCUAUCCUAAUAUCCCGUAAUGUAGAAGUGGUGAAGUUGGAAAUAGGUCUUGGAACACUUUAUAUAUCUCUAACUAUGAUGUUCGUAACCUUCACAACACGAUAUUAUACGGUAAUGCGUGGACUAGAGUCGUGUUAACCUUUUCACAGAUUAAAUUGCUCAUCCAAAUGUUCCGUUCUACAUAUCGGAGGAGAACUGGAUGAUCAGGAUAAGCAAUGUCGUGGUCUUAGGAAUUGUUAUAAAGCCUGCAGGUGAUUUGCUAUUUAAGUUGUUUACUGUUUCCAU